rnacentral:lncRNA from 1 species
UUCAGGUCCUUCUUCUUCAAACGACUGAUCUCCGUAUAGCUUUCCUGUUCCCCUAUCGCUCGUCGACGGUGGCGGCUGCACAGAUCUGGUGGACGACGACUACUCCCUGGGCAGUUGCUCCCUGCCUCCUCCCACUCCCACUCCGGCUUCCAGGUCUCUUGGCUCCAUCUACCGCGCAUCCCGACACGCGCUGCACAUCCUCGUCAGGGACCGGGCCGCCGCCGCCACGGUCUCCUCCACCCCGAUGACCUCGGGCUCCCCACCCGCUCAGCUGCCCAUUUGUACCUUUCCGGAGCCAAGCUGGUAGUGGUCGAGUGGGCGGUGGUGCCUCCACGGUCGCCUCCUCCCCGGUACUCCUAGAUCCAGCAGUAUCUCACCGUAGGCAAGCUGGUGGUGCUCGAUCUGCUCGCCUUCUUUGCCUCGCAGGCUCAGCAUCAAGGUCAGCACCGUUUCUCCAACUCCCCUCCCCCUCUCCCUCCUACAGAUUUCUCUCCAAUGGCUUCUCACCUCUCAUGUGCUGCUUAGUACCGUAUUUACCAGUGAACAACUUGUAUGGCUUUGACUGGUUUCAUUAUUAUUUAAACAAAGCAUGUUGUUUGUUGUUGUAUGAUAUCCACAAACACAUUGGUCUGAAGAUCGCACAUUGUCAACAAGUGUCAUCAUAGCUCAUAUUUGUACUGUGAUAUGUUCAAGAAGUAGCAUAUCCAUCUCUUUCACAUGACUGGCAACCACAACCCCUUUUACAAGACUCAAAAUCACAUCAAGCUUAAUUAGAAUUCAUCUUUUUUUUCGAGAAAACGCAUGAGAGCGUGCGUUUCAUUGCAUUGUAAAGAGGGAGAGUUUGGUUACAUUCCUCCUAGGAGGCUGAUUACAGAGACCGGACUAGUGGACAUCCCAAGUCUGGGGGGUAAUGGCUUUGAGCCCUAGCGCGCCCGCAUUUGCCCAAAGGGCAGCUUCUUCCUUGAUCUUCGCUACGAUGGUUAAUCAGAAUUCAUCUCUCAUUCACAUUUUCUAUCUCUGGUUGAAACAACGGAUCUGUACAACUCUCUCUUGUGUGCUUUAGGGAUUGAUUGGAACGGGAGUUUUUCUGCCCAGUACACUGGUAAGGUAUACAUCCGUAAAAUAAAAUAGGCGGCCUUUAAUUAUGUGAUUGGUUAGUCGUUUCAGGUCGUAUUUUUCUACACCGGUUUUGCUAAAUACACCUAUAUUCCCCGGUUUUGAAAACACUGCUCUGGCCGUCGUUUCUCGCCUGGCAUUCAUCUCUCUCUAUCGAUCGACAGUACGAGCGGACGCAUCGCCGGACGAAGCCACGGGCAACGGGACGAGGCAUCGGCGACACUGACUGCGGGAUUGACACUGUCUCCGCAGGUCCCUGAUGUGGGUGCACCGCACUGCUUGGCGGUGCAUGGCCGGAGCUCCCGCCGACCAUCAGGUUGAGGCGGCGAGGAGCAGUGGCAUGUAGACUGAAUCAGGCGGAGAGCGCAGGCACUCGAAGACGCGGCUCCUGAAUGAUGGCUUGACCACGGCGGUCGACAAUCUGAAAAUAUCACUGGUAAAAUACUGGUUUCUUCUAUAGGAUAAUAAAAUACACCGGUAAACUAUUUACAGGCGUAUACAAGGCCUCCAAUCGGGGUCUUAAGGAGGUAAAGAAUUCUACUUGCUGUUGAACCCUCGCUGAUUCUCCACAGAAAAACUUGUAAGGAUCUGAACUUGUUGAGUGAAAUUAUGGUUGAAGCAAGAUUUUUUUUAGAAUCUCUAGUCUCUAAAUACAAGAGCAGAAAAUGGUUCUCUUCCAUGUAUUUGACUCAUGUUUUUUGCUUUGGAUCUGUGUGCGGACUUGCCUUUGUGCCGUCGUAAUAUAUUUAUUUGUUUGUUGCUGUUAGAGUUUCAAUUUUCUUUUUUUAGAACCAAAAUUCGUGGGCAGCAAUAAGAAAGUGCUGGCAUUGCAAUGUCAUAUCGGUGCUCCAGAGAAGUGUUCCUUUUAAGUUUUAACCAUGCAUUUUUAAAAGUAAUACUUGGUGACCAAUGUAAUCAAUCAGAAUAACAACUUCAGUGUAAUGAAGGAUAAAGCAUUUUUACUUUCAGCUCCUCCCCGUGCUUGUGAUGGAUUGGUCCAUUAUCUGUUAAUCUCUGCAUAACAAAAUGAAGGACUGGAUGCUAAGCUUAACAUUACCAUCUCUCUAGUUAGACAAUCACAGUGGUAAAAAUAAUUUGGGGAAUAACAAUAUUUUUUGUGCUAGCAGCGAGCAGAUAUGUUCCUACUAGUACAAUGUAUUCUUGAUGCAUAUUCAUUUGAUUAGCUCAUGAGCAAAUACUUUAGGUGCCCUUGCACGUCUUGUACUCAAACUGAAUGAUUUGUUUGGUGUCAUCUUUUCCAGAACAUGAAGACUGAAUAGCAAGAAGCACUAUAACUAGAGGCAAAAAGGGAAUAUUUUCAAGAUAACAAACCCGAUGCAAGUUUUGGUAGCAAUGUUUAUUCAGUGGGCAUCAUUUCAGUCCUUCAUUCUCGGGCUCGCUGUUCAUGUACUACAAAAUGACCAUGUCAUGUUUUAUACCACUUGAUGUGUGUGUGUGUGUGUGUGUGUGUGUGUGUGUGUCUUGUCUACCCGAAUUAAGAUACAAGACAUGCACUCAAAUAUUUCUGCCCAGGAUAAUCCACUUAGACAUGUAUUCAGAAAUUUGUGCUUGACAUGUACUCUCAUAUUUGUGUUUGGGGUGGUCCAGCAUGGGAUGAACUAGGAACAGAUUGGCUUAACCAUAUUAAGUUUUCUUGCAUAAUCGGUGAUCUAGUACAAGCAACUAUUGUACAAUUUGGGCAUCGACGAUGUGAACAUUUGAAAUUGGGAUAAAAUGAUUGGAUAAGAGAAAGUUGGGGUUCUU